GUCUAUGGCCAUGCCACUCUGAACAAGCCCUAAAGCUAAGCAGGGUCGGGCCUGGUUAGUACUUGGAUGGGAGACACCACCUAGGAAAACCAGGUGCUGUAGGCA
rnacentral:rRNA from 1 species